rnacentral:rRNA from 1 species
GACAGAGGUGCCGAGCGUUAGGCGGAAUCACUGGGCUUAAAGCGUGUGUAGGCGGGCGGGCAAGUACCUUGUGAAAUCCCACGACUCAACCGUGGAACGGCUGGGUAUACUGCCUGUCUUGAGCCAACUAGGGGCGAGCGGAACAGACGGUGGAGCGGUGAAAUGCGUAGAUAUCGUGAGGAAUACCAGAGGCGAAGGCGGCUACCUGGACAAUUGCUGACGCUCAGGCACGAAAGCGUGGGGAGCAAAAGGG